GUGACUGUAGCUCAAUGGUAGAGCGCUAGGUUGUGGUCCUAGUGACGAGGGUUCGAUUCCCUUCAGCCACCCCG
rnacentral:tRNA from 1 species